rnacentral:rRNA from 1 species
AUUGAACGCUGGCGGCAUGCCUUACACAUGCAAGUCGAGCGGCAGCGCGGGGGCAACCCUGGCGGCGAGCGGCGGACGGGUGAGUAAUACAUCGGAACGUGUCCUUUCGUGGGGGAUAACCAGUCGAAAGACUGGCUAAUACCGCAUGAGAUCUCACGAUGAAAGCGGGGGACCGCAAGGCCCCGCGCGAUUGGACCGGCCGCUGUCGGAUUAGCUAGUUGGCGGGGUAAAAGCCCACCAAGGCGACGAUCCGUAGCUGGUUUGAGAGAACGACCAGCCACACUGGGACUGAGACACGGCCCAGACUCCUACGGGAGGCAGCAGUGGGGAAUUUUGGACAAUGGGGGCAACCCUGAUCCAGCCAUGCCGCGUGUGUGAAGAAGGCCUUCGGGUUGUAAAGCACUUUCGGCCGGAACGAAAUCGCGCGGGCGAAUAUCCCGCGUGGAUGACGGUACCGGAAGAAGAAGCACCGGCUAACUACGUGCCAGCCGCCGCUGUAAUAC